rnacentral:rRNA from 1 species
AAAUUGAAGAGUUUGAUCAUGGCUCAGAUUGAACGCUGGCGGCAAGCCUAACACAUGCAAGUCGAGCGGCAGCGAAAAGAAAGUUUUCUUUCUUGUCGGCGAGCGGCAAACGGGUGAGUAAUAUCUGGGGAUCUACCCGAAAAAGGGGGAUAACUACUAGAAAUGGUAGCUAAUACCGCAUAAUGUUGAAAAACCAAAGUGGGGGACCUUAUGGCCUCACGUUUUCGGAUGAACCCAGACGAGAUUAGCUUGUUGGUAGAGUAAUAGCCUACCAAGGCAACGAUCUCUAGCUGGUCUGAGAGGAUAACCAGCCACACUGGAACUGAGACACGGUCCAGACUCCUACGGGAGGCAGCAGUGG